rnacentral:rRNA from 1 species
CCUACGGGAGGCAGCAGUGAGGAAUAUUGGUCAAUGGGCGGAAGCCUGAACCAGCCAAGCAGCGUGCAGGAUGACGGCCCUACGGGUUGUAAACUGCUUUUAUACGGGAACAACGCGCCUUACGUGUAGGGCUUUGCAUGUACCGUAUGAAUAAGGACCGGCUAAUUCCGUGCCAGCAGCCGCGGUAAUACGGAAGGUCAGGGCGUUAUCCGGAUUUAUUGGGUUUAGGGGUAGCGUAGGCCGCAUGUCACGCGUGCUGUGAAAUGUCCGGGCUCAACCCGGGCCUUGCAGCGCGAACUGGCGUGCUUGAGUCCGCGGAAGGCAGGCGGAAUU